rnacentral:misc_RNA from 1 species
UCUCCGUUGGUGAACCAGCGGAGGGAUCAUUAUCGAGUUUAUAACUCCCAAACCCUAUGUGAACUUACCACUUGUUGCUUCGGCGCGCGCUUCGGCGCCGCCGAGGACACUUAAACUCUUUGUUUUUAUAAGCAUUUCUGAGUGGCCGAAAGGCAAAAUACAAAUGAACCAAAACUUUCAACAACGGAUCUCUUGGUUCUG